GACGAACGCUGGCGGCGUGCUUAACACAUGCAAGUCGAGGGCGGUAGCAAUACCGACCGGCGAACGGGUGCGUAACACGUGAGCGACCUACCGAGGUGUGGGGGAUAGUCGGCCUAACGGCCGGGUAAUACCGCAUACGUUCUCUAAUCGGCAUCGAUUGGAGAGGAAACCUUUCGGGCACUUCGAGGGGCUCGCGGCCUAUCAGCUAGUUGGCGAGGUAAUGGCUCACCAAGGCGACGACGGGUAGCUGGUCUGAGAGGAUGGCCAGCCACAUUGGGACUGAGAAACGGCCCAGACUCCUACGGGAGGCAGCAGUGGGGAAUCUUGCGCAAUGGCCGAAAGGCUGACGCAGCGACGCCGCGUGUGGGAUGAAGCCCUUCGGGGUGUAAACCACUGUUGCCCGGGACGAAUAGCGGAUUUUGAUCCGCCUGACGGUACCGGGUGAGGAAGCACCGGCUAACUCCGUGCCAGCAGCCGCGGUAAUAC
rnacentral:rRNA from 1 species